rnacentral:rRNA from 1 species
AUAGCCUAACGGCUGAACCAGCAACUUGGAGGAAUAUAGCAAUAGCUAAUUGCAUAUAUGCAAGAUCGACUAUGUCGAAUAAAGUUCUGGGUAGAUUAUGAUAAUGACAUUAUCUACCCAUAUGUCUUGACCAAGUUACGUGCCAGCAGUCGCGGUAAUACGUAGUAGACUAGUGUUAUUCAUCUUUAAUAGGUUUAAAGGGUACCUAGAUGGUAAAUCAAGCCCGAGGUACUGAUUUGCUAGAGUUUUAUGUGAGGUUAAAGUACUGGUGGUGUAGAGAUGAAAUUUGUGAUACCAUGGGGACUGGUGGCGAAAGCAUCCUUUUAUGUAAAAACUGACGUUUAAGGACGAAGGCUUUGUGUCGCAAAAAGGAUUAGAUACCCUAGUAGUCUAAGCAGACAAUGAUGAAUGUCAUAGAUUAGAAUAUAUAUUUUGUUCUAUAAAUGAAAGUGUAAGCAUUCCACCUCAAGAGUAAUUUGGCAACAUUGGAACUGAAAUCAUUAGACCGUUUCUGAAACCAGUAGUGAAGUAUGUUGUUUAAUUUGAUGAUCCGCAAAAAACCUUACCACAAUUUGAAUAUUAACAAGCGUUGCACGGUUGUCUUCAGUUAAUGUCGUGAGAUUUUGGUUAGUUCCAUUAAAUUAACGUAAACCCUUACUUUAUUUUAAUAUAAAGUAGUUCAUCAUUAGAUUGGAUAUGACAAAAGGGUCAAGACAAGUCAUCAUGGCCUAAAUUGUGG